AUUGAACGCUGGCGGCAGGCCUAACACAUGCAAGUCGAACGGUAGCACAGAGAGCUUGCUCUCGGGUGACGAGUGGCGGACGGGUGAGUAAUGUCUGGGAAACUGCCUGAUGGAGGGGGAUAACUACUGGAAACGGUAGCUAAUACCGCAUAACGUCGCAAGACCAAAGAGGGGGACCUUCGGGCCUCUUGCCAUCAGAUGUGCCCAGAUGGGAUUAGCUAGUAGGUGGGGUAACGGCUCACCUAGGCGACGAUCCCUAGCUGGUCUGAGAGGAUGACCAGCCACACUGGAACUGAGACACGGUCCAGACUCCUACGGGAGGCAGCAGUGGGGAAUAUUGCACAAUGGGCGCAAGCCUGAUGCAGCCAUGCCGCGUGUAUGAAGAAGGCCUUCGGGUUGUAAAGUACUUUCAGCGGGGAGGAAGGCGAUAAGGUUAAUAACCUUGUCGAUUGACGUUACCCGCAGAAGAAGCACCGGCUAACUCCGUGCCAGCAGCCGCGGUAAUACGGAGGGUGCAAGCGUUAAUCGGAAUUACUGGGCGUAAAGCGCACGCAGGCGGUCUGUCAAGUCGGAUGUGAAAUCCCCGGGCUCAACCUGGGAACUGCAUUCGAAACUGGCAGGCUGGAGUCUUGUAGAGGGGGGUAGAAUUCCAGGUGUAGCGGUGAAAUGCGUAGAGAUCUGGAGGAAUACCGGUGGCGAAGGCGGCCCCCUGGACAAAGACUGACGCUCAGGUGCGAAAGCGUGGGGAGCAAACAGGAUUAGAUACCCUGGUAGUCCACGCUGUAAACGAUGUCGACUUGGAGGUUGUGCCCUUGAGGAGUGGCUUCCGGAGCUAACGCGUUAAGUCGACCGCCUGGGGAGUACGGCCGCAAGGUUAAAACUCAAAUGAAUUGACGGGGGCCCGCACAAGCGGUGGAGCAUGUGGUUUAAUUCGAUGCAACGCGAAGAACCUUACCAACUCUUGACAUCCAGAGAACUUAGCAGAGAUGCUUUGGUGCCUUCGGGAACUCUGAGGCAGGUGCUGCAUGGCUGUCGUCAGCUCGUGUUGUGAAAUGUUGGGUUAAGUCCCGCAACGAGCGCAACCCUUAUCCUUUGUUGCCAGCGGUCCGGCCGGGAACUCAAAGGAGACUGCCAGUGAUAAACUGGAGGAAGGUGGGGGUGACGUCAAGUCAUCAUGGCCCUUACGAGUAGGGCUACACACGUGCUACAAUGGCAUAUACAAAGAGAAGCGACCUCGCGAGAGCAAGCGGACCUCAUAAAGUAUGUCGUAGUCCGGAUUGGAGUCUGCAACUCGACUCCAUGAAGUCGGAAUCGCUAGUAAUCGUGGAUCAGAAUGCCACGGUGAAUACGUUCCCGGGCCUUGUACACACCGCCCGUCACACCAUGGGAGUGGGUUGCAAAAGAAGUAGGUAGCUUAACCUUCGGGAGGGCGCUUACCACUUUGUGAUUCAUGACUGGGGUGA
rnacentral:rRNA from 1 species